GUUUCCAUGGUAUAGCGGUUAUCACGUGUGCUUCACACGCACAAGGUCCCCAGUUCGAUCCCAGGCAGGAACA